UGGGGAAUUUUGGACAAUGGGGGAAACCCUGAUCCAGCCAUCCCGCGUGUGCGAUGAAGGCCUUCGGGUUGUAAAGCACUUUUGGCAGGAAAGAAACGUCGCGGGUUAAUACCCCGCGAAACUGACGGUACCUGCAGAAUAAGCACCGGCUAACUACGUGCCAGCAGCCGCGGUAAUACGUAGGGUGCAAGCGUUAAUCGGAAUUACUGGGCGUAAAGCGUGCGCAGGCGGUUCGGAAAGAAAGAUGUGAAAUCCCAGAGCUUAACUUUGGAACUGCAUUUUUAACUACCGGGCUAGAGUGUGUCAGAGGGAGGUGGAAUUCCGCGUGUAGCAGUGAAAUGCGUAGAUAUGCGGAGGAACACCGAUGGCGAAGGCAGCCUUCUGGGAUAACACUGACGCUCAUGCACGAAAGCGUGGGGAGCAAACAGGAUUAGAUACCCUGGUAGUCCACGCCCUAAACGAUGUCAACUAGCUGUUGGGGGCCUUCGGGCCUUGGUAGCGCAGCUAACGCGUGAAGUUGACCGCCUGGGGAGUACGGUC
rnacentral:rRNA from 1 species